UGGGGAAUAUUGGACAAUGGGCGCAAGCCUGAUCCAGCCAUGCCGCGUGAGUGAUGAAGGCCUUAGGGUUGUAAAGCUCUUUCGCCGACGAAGAUAAUGACGGUAGUCGGAGAAGAAGCCCCGGCUAACUUCGUGCCAGCAGCCGCGGUAAUACGAAGGGGGCUAGCGUUGUUCGGAAUCACUGGGCGUAAAGCGCACGUAGGCGGAUUGUUAAGUCAGGGGUGAAAGCCUGGAGCUCAACUCCAGAACUGCCCUUGAUACUGGCAAUCUCGAGUCCGGAAGAGGUAAGUGGAACUGCGAGUGUAGAGGUGAAAUUCGUAGAUAUUCGCAAGAACACCAGUGGCGAAGGCGGCUUACUGGUCCGGUACUGACGCUGAGGUGCGAAAAGCGUGGGGGAGCAAAACAGGAUUAGAUACCCUGGUAGUCCACGCCGUAAAACGAUGGAGGCUAGCCGUUGGCGAGCAUGCUCGUCAGUGGCGCAGCUAACGCAUUAAGCCUCCCGCCUGGGGAGUACGGUCGCAAGAUUAAAAACUC
rnacentral:rRNA from 1 species